CGCCGAAGGGCGCCGGGCGGUGGUGUCUCCACCAGCGGGUCGUGGCGGGGGCCAAAACCGUGUCCUCACGUCCACACGUCUGGCCGCCCUUCCCCCGGGCGCUCGCUCGUGGGUUCGACCGUUGCACGUUCCUUGAGCUUCUGUGGCGUUCGGCCUGGAGGAGCUGGGCUGGCCUCCCCUGCACGCAGCCCGAGUCUUGUCUGUCAAAUGAAGAUGAUGUGGACUCAGAGCCUGGCGUGGUCACCCACAGCUGUGUGAUCUUGGACAAGUUACUCACACUCUCUGUUCAUCAGUGUCCUCGUCCGUGAAAGGGAAGUACAGUGAAUGUAAAGUGCUCAGGACAGCAAAGUGCGACCCAGUAUGUGCUUGUGAGGGGAUGGGCAGGUAGAUCCGGUCCCUGCCUGGCCACUCCUUUGGGGAAGCUUGUGUCUUUUAUGACAAAGACAGUGCUCUGUCCUGGCCUCCUUGAGCCUGGAAAUUAAGGCAACUGCCAGGGAGGGCCCAGCGUGGACUUUGGAGUCUCCUAGCCACAUUUCCUAGUAGGCAUUAUCAUGCUGUGUUAAAGUGGAGGUGGGAACCCCAAGAACAGAGGAGGCUGGAAAUGCUGUGAGUGCAUGGCAGACUCGCCCCUCUCUGCACCCUAGGGCACAAGGUGCAUCCUCUUGGCUCCGGCCUGUCAGCACCCUGGGGCGUUAUUUCUGGACUCCUUGCGUUCUGAGAGAGAGGUUCCUACGCCUGGGAUUCUGCCGUCUGCUAUGCUCUGUGGGCAGACAGGCCCCUUCUGGCAGACUGGGCUGGGCUUUUGUGGACAGGGACAGCUCUGGGCAGUGGCUUCCCUAGAGGCCUGUCCAUCUGUUCACCUGAUUGCCCUGACUCGUCUGUUUUCUUGUAAUAAGGCUGGGUGGCUCACUCAGCCUCCUGCAAAGGCCUGUGGGCACAGGAGAGGCUUUUUCGAAACUGUGGUUUCCACCCUUGGGAUAAUUUACAUACCACCCAGUUGGAGAAUAAUGGUGGGGCAGGAAGAGAGAGGUCACAUUCUCCAUCCCUAAAGGGCAUAGUUUUCUGGUUCCUGUCACUGGCAGUGGGACACACAGUCACAGAUGCCCUGCUUCCCCCUGACUCCCAUGCCCCGGCACCGGGGUGGCGGGCCCACCAGGGUCCCAUGUGGAUGCAUGGGGACUAUCAGCUCUUUUCUAGGUUUCCAGAAGCCUCGAAAUAUUGUGCAUUUUCCUCCGAUAAGGCCAGAAAGCCUGACUCAAACAUAAAAUGACAACUCAGCUGUACUGAGUUGACUUGUGUCCCCCCCCCCCCAAAAGAUAUGUCCGUGUUCUAACUCCUGGUGCUUGUAUGAUUUUAUCUGGAAACAGGGUCACUGCAAAUGUGAUCAGGUGGAGAGGAAGUCAUCCUAGAUUAUGGAGGGGCCCCAAUCCAAUGACAGUGUAUCUUCAUAAGAAGAGAGAAUUUGGAUACGUCGACUAGGAGAUAGACACAGGGGAAAACAACAUAAUGAAGACGGAUGCAGAGAUGGAGGUGAUGUGUCUACAGCCAAGGAACCUGAGGGUCACCAGAGCCACCAGCAGCCGGGAGAGAGGGGUGGAUUAGAGUCUCCCUCAGAGCCUCAGAAGGGAUCGACCCUGCGGACCGCUUGAGCUGAGACUUGGAUUUCCAGAACUGAGAGAUGGUAACCGCCUGUUGUUCAGGCUGUCGGGUUUGUGGUGCUGUGUUACAGCAGCCGCAAGAAACCCAUACAUCGGGCCAUUCAGAGCUUCUGCCGGGCAGGCGUUCUCUGCCUCUGAUUGGCACGCAACGGCAAGGGAGGUCAUCACUGAUUAAUGCUUGCAACACAGUGUGAUCUGUGAAACCUUUUCCUAAGGUGGUGGGGGGCCGUCCCUGGAGAAAGAAUACUAAAGGGGCCCAGGGUGGAGAAAAGGAGGGACCCAUAACAUACGGUCCUGGAAAAGCACUGCCAGAGCCCCAAACUUACUGCUCCUGGGGGCCUGGGUAUUGGAGAGAAAAUCCCCCUGGUACUGAAGGUACUUUCUUGCGGCCUGGGGGGGAGGGUGCGCAGGAAGGAUCCAGGGGCUCUGGAGUCUGACACUUGCUCCUGUCCCUGAUACGUAAACUGGGGUUCCUGCUGCCCAGUCUCUAGAAAGGCAAGGGGUAAAGGGAGAACACUGGGUAGAGGGGGAGGGGCACAAGGAAGCCCUGUCCCCACCCCACCCUCUGGGUGACUGGUGGCACUGGCUGGACCUAUGGUGGUUUUUCCUGUCCUGAAUGACUGUGGCCAGACUCUGGCCCCACUCUACAGAUGCAGAAACUGAGGCCCAGCUCUCACCAUUGCUCUGGAGGCAUGGGAAUCACCACAGAACCAGGGAGCCAAGAUUCAGCCUUGUACUGUUGGCCACAGACCGAAUGGCCUGAAAUAGGGCACUAGUGGUCCAAGAAAAGAGGACUCAGUUGGCUGUGCUGGCCCCUGACCAGGGCGCCCAGGAACACACUCCAGUGACUCAGCGGUGACUCAGGACGAGGCAGCAGAUGCGGAAACCGCUAGUCCUCUGCCAGCUAGGGAAGCAGCCCCGGGUGGUGAUAAGCAGCUGGGGCAUCCGAGCCCCUCUAUCCGGGAGGACCCAGAGCCGGGAACCCAGAAGGCCUCCGCACAGCCGUUCUGUGAAGGCAGGAAGGACAGCCUGGCGGUCCCCAGCUGGGCAGCCCUGAGCCAGAGCCCCCGGAGCAACCCGCCCCACCAGGUGCCCACAACACAGAGGGGGUGGGAGGGGGUGCUUCAAGGCUCAGAAAUGAGGACACUUGUUCCUAAUCCACACAGUCAGACGGCAGACAUAUGGGCCUCGGUUUCCUGUAUGUGAAAUGGGGCUAAAACCAGCCCCACGACCUGGGGAGGUUGCGUGGUGGAGACCACGCGUGGAAAGCGCAGCGUGAGUCCAUCUUCUGUGCGCGCUCCGUCCACGCUCCGCCCCUGCUCCACGCUCCGCCCCUACGCCGGGCACGCUCCGUUCACGCUCCGCCCCCGCUCCACACUCCGCCCCCGCGCCGGGCGCGCUCCGUUCACGCUGUGUGCGUGGAAGCCAUUGUCGGGCUUACCCACGACUCCUCCGCCUCGAAGGCCGGAUUUUUUUUCUAUCCUGUGUUUCUGAGUCGGGUUUUGCACGCGGUCUCCGAUGCUCUGUGAGCCUCAGCCUCUCACGGUGAGAAGUCUGUGAGAUGACGGGACGCAGUCGCACCGACAGCCAGGGGGCGGGAACCGCCCGAGGGUCCUUCCGUGGCUGAACGACAGGUGGCACGGCCACGCCAGGGGCGUUAGCCAGCCGCGGAAAGGAACGCAGCACCGGCUCACGCUGCCACGUGGAUGGACGUCGAAAACGUGACACCGAGUGACGGAAGCCAGACACAAAGGGCCACAUCUCAUGUGCUACCGUUUAUUAGACCCACAAAAGUACUUCGCCCGCUUGCCGGGUGGAGAUCAGAGCACGCGGUGCCAGAGAAGGCGGUGGCGGGAGAGGAACGGGGUGCCGUCAGCGCGGCUCCAGACGAGGCGGGUGUUCCCAGCUCACGGCCGGAGGCCAGGAAGCGGCUGCCGAGACCGCGUCUUUGCAGGGCCCCCGGCUGGCCCGUGCCGGGCAGAAGCGUCUGUCCGUCUGACACCAAAAACCGCGCCGCCGGCCCUUCCCGGAGACGAGAUCAUUCAGGAUUCCCUGAACAAGCAACCAAACAGGCGACCAGACCAACGGAAGAGGAGCACCGACCAGGCCGCUGAGGUGUGUGUGGAGCACGGAGCUCUUUGCUAACAAGGUAAAAUACUCUCCAGUCGUAACUGUAGUUCCCACGUCCUCUAGGACACGCUCCGUCCUCCAAACCCCGAGCUUCCCUGCAGGGCCGUCGCCGCGUGAGGGGCAGGCCCGGGGCCUACGGCGGGGAGGCUGCCUUCCUCGGGGCCACAGCCGGGGCCACCACGAUCUCGUCGGAGUCGUCAGAGCUGCCGUCGUCUGCGGGUCCCAGUCCUGAGGGAGAGGACGGCCCUGCAAGGAACCAGAGCGGGGUUGUCACCGCAGCUGCUCGGGGCCAGGGCGCGCCCCGGCCGCCAGUCUCGGACACUUGGCACAGCGCCUGCUCCCUGCCGGGCGGGAACGACCUUCGGCGUCAGCGUCACCCGGCCACAAACCACCUCAGCCUCCGAGCUCAGCUCUGGACACCCAGGCCGUUGCCAAAAGGCAAACACCCGCAAAAGGUGAGGCUGGCCGACAGCGAGCAAGCUGGAGCGCGACUGGGGGUCUCUGAGGGCCGCCCCCACCGCGGCGCCCCGAGCCCGCGGCCUGGGCGGGAGCUGCGACCCAGCGCUGGCGAGGCUGGUGGCCAGCCGCGUGUGUAAGAGCCCGCUUCCUGGUGGCACGUCCACCUGGGGAGACGGGCACGCGGCGCCCGGUGGCCCCUCCCCCACACUCUUCACGCACAGCCGCCUUCCAGAAUCCCGUCUCUGCUGGAAGGGGGCGCCCGCUGCAGACAGCCUGCACCCCGAGGGGCCUGAGGAGGGGCCAGAAGCGGGCGAGGGAUGGGAGGGAGGCCCGCACUCUGCCUGGUGAGGGGCAAGGGGAUGGCCGGUCGCCGGUCGGGGGGAAAGCGGGAAGGAAGCCAGGCUCGGCCGCACCGAGGCGUGUGACUGCACAGCUGGCCUCUGGCGCUUUCCAGAGAAUAUCUGAGAGGAGAGCCUCAGGACGCUCAAACAUCCGUUUCCAAGGUUAUCUUCAAAAACACGGUCACGAUCGGACCAAAUGGGGCCACACGGCCCUGCCGGGAACUGAGGGCGGUGUGUGCGGUAACGCCCCUUGGCAGGAGACGACACCGUCCGCAGGAGGAGGGGCCUCGGGGGGGCCGGGAGUCCUCGAUGGCCCGCCCGGCUCCGCGUCUUCCGGGGCAUCCCGGUGCUGCUGCCCUUGGCUCUUGACACGCGGGGCCUGUGGGGCACCAGAGUUCGACGUCCGCGAGCCCCGACAGCCCGGGCUGAGCGACUGCAAGGGACGCAGCCCGCACUCCCAUGUGGUGACUUCCCGGGCGGACACGGUGGCAAGCCCUUGGCUCCUCAGGACAUUCUCUGAGACCCAGCCCCCCGAAGGCCGCAUCGCCCCCACUCACCGCAGCGGGGCUGCAGGGCUGCUGGAUUCCCCGGAGCCUCGUCCUCGGCCGCCGGCCCCUCCGCGGUCUCCCCGCCGCUCGCCUCACUGUCCUCUUGACCUGAAAUGACACGCAGACCAGAAGUGCCGGCCCUGCACGCGGCCGGCGUGGGACAUGGGCAGGACUCGUCCCCUCCCCCCGUCUUUCCACCCCAGCACCCGGGUUUUGGCUUCCUUUGCUGAGGUUUCCUGACACGAAGCCCCGCUCCCCGCCUGUCCUCAGACUCCAUCUUUGUGACCUACGAGCUCAGGACAGAAAAGUCGCUGGAAACGUUCCCACGUGAGCGCCACGUGGUGACCGCCUACCGCCCUCACUAACAGGACCUCAAGACUGCGUUUCUUGGUCCAGUGACCGUCCCAAACCUCCCAGCACCGCCUUCUUGCUCAUCGGCAGCAUCACAGUACGAGCGCGAGCAAGUCACAGCAGAGGAAGGGGGAGGGGAGGCCGGAAUCGCGGGGCCCGAAAGCAACGUCCAGGCUCUCGCCGGGCGUCCGCCUCACACGCGAGGAGACGGGCCCUGCCCGGGACCCCACGUCCGCCGCCGGGCAGGGCUGACCGGGCCUCACUGCUGGGGUGCGGCGCCCCUGUCAGUCCCAGGGAUCUCUGCACUGUCUGGGGGCCUUGAUGAGGCCGAAAAGCAGAUACACGCAAAGCUUUACUUAAAACCAACAAACAGGAAAAGCAUUGGUCCAAAGGAGGGAAACCACCAGCUCCGGUUAGAGCCAAGGAUAAAAACCAAAGACACACGAGCCACGAAGCUCCAACUCUGUGGCCCGCAGGUGCCCAGAAGCCGCCGUCACUGACCCCGGGGCCGCCUCCAGAGGUCCAGGAUCUCCCUGAUGCAGCCUCCCUGCUGGUAGGCGGUCACAGUGGACAAGCCCCCACACGUGCCCACACACCCCACGCUUCCGGGCAGUGGCAGCUCUUUGCUGGAAGCUCAGAGGGCCGGGGAAAUCGAAACUGAAGUGACGUUACCAGGAGAAGGGGCCGGGCAGGGUGGCGAGCAGAGCUGGCUGUGUGUGGCCGGAGCGGGCUGCCUCCUUCUGGGGGCUGCGGCGACGGCUCUCUGACCGGCGGCGCUGCAAGAGAGAGGCCAGCCGCUUGGACUUCACAGAACGCCCCGUGGGCUGAGGCCCACGGCGGGGCUCACGGAUGCGCGGGAGGCCGGCAGGGCUGGUGCACGGCCGGGGUCAGGGCCAGACGCCUUCCUUUCCCACCGUCUCCCGUGCCUUUCCGUCCCAGCGGACACGGUCACCGGCCGUGAUGGCCGCGCCGGGAUGGACCCUGACCUGCGUGGAGCCCCUGGCCGUCCCCGUUCACGGGGAACCAGAACCAUGAGAUUCGGGCUCCACCUGGCUCUCCUGUGGCAGAGAGGAACCAAAACCGACACCGGAGAGGAAGGGCAGAGUGAGGAGGGGCAGGGAGCCUGAGCCCUGCAGCAGAACAGCCCCAGCCCCCUCCUGAGGGACACUCCCCCGCCUCGGUGCAGAACCCCCCCCCCCCUCGCCCCACAACAGCUAGGGGGGGCUGUGACUUUCUGCAGCCGGUGCCCCCGCGGGUCUGGCGCCACAGUGCCACUGAGAAGGAGAGAAGGAGCGCUGCCCUGGGAGGGUUCUGACGACGCCCGCGCCUUCCUGAAUGCUGGGGUCACGUCACAUUUUCUUCUAACAAGGACGAUGCGUUAGGACGAGCCGACCAGCCUACAAAGUGGCAGGCAGGAGGAACUCCUCACUGGGUGUUUCUGUUCGGGUGACAAACCAAGGUCCCAGCUCCUACACCCUGUGCCCGGGCACCACGGGCCGGCCACCUGGACGGGCAGCUCCUCGCACUGUGUCUGCGGCCGGCGUUUCCCAGGGAUACAGAACAGAGUUGGGCCCGCCGGUUGGACUUACCUGCGCCUGACCCGUGCCAGGUGCGCCCGGAGGACGGACUGGAUGGCGGUGAUGGCCUCCUCCUGUCCCGGGCUGCCCUGGGCCUGGACGGUGGGGCUUGGAACACGUGGUGACGGAGGGUCCUGCGGCAAAAUGACAGUGAGCGUGCCAAGGGGCCCCGCCUGGCCCUCAGAGAGCCAGAGUAGGAAGACGCUCAUCUUUACCGUGUUAAGAUUAUACCUUAAUCGUGAGAUGGACGUGUACCUAGUACGUAAGCACCAGACGUUACAUCCACCUGGAGCCUGCCUGGCCCGAUGCGCCCCGCGACGGACGACAGUAAGGUGCAAGCUCGGCCGCACCGCACCUGCCUGGAGAGGCGAGGACGCCCGGGCCUGGGGCGGCACCGAAGACCGCAGCGGAGCACGACGGCACGGGCCGGCCGGCUGGUAGACGCGCUCCAGGGUCCCUGGAGGAGUCCCAAGCUCACCCAUUCACCCACUCAGUGCACAGAUUUGCCGAAUGCCUACCAUAUGGCAGGCCGCGUCCUGGGAACUAUGGACAUAGUGGCCCAAAGGCAGAGUCAGUCUUUGCCUCCACGGAACCUCCACUGCAAUGUGAGACAAGCAGUCUGCAAAGAAGUGAGCUAUCAAAAUAUCAAACAGGGAUAAAAGCCACAAGGAGAACUAAAGCAGGACACGAGGCCGGAGUGAUGGCUGGCACGGGGUAUUCAGAGAGGGUGUCAUUGAGGAGGUAAUGUUUCGGUACGGACCUGUGUAAAGCAAGGGGGCAAAACGUGCAAGUAUCUGGAGGAAGAGCCUUCUAGGCAGAGGGGCAGCAAGUGCAAAGGCCCUGUGGCAGGAAUAUGCUGGUGUUUUCGAGGAGUGUUAAAGAAGCCUCCAGACUGGCUAGAGAAGAAUGAGCAGGGCUGGAGGGGUCGCCAGGACGUGUGGCACGGAGGGUGUUCAGGCAACAGCUUUGGAAUUUGCUCCAAGUUGAGGGCAGGUCUUACGCAGCGGUGGGUGUUAUUUAACACGUAAGACGUGUCACCCCGGAGGCUGCGUGGGGAACAGGCUGGUGGGGAAGGCGACAGCAGCAGCAAGGGGCCCUGCGGGUCUCAGACUCCGUCAGUCCCGGCACCUCCCAGCCCGCGUCCAGCCGCUCACACACACCUGCUCUCCCCCCGGGCAGGCUGUGCUCCUGCGCACACCCGUCUUCUGCCUGGAGCCCUUCCUCUCAGCCUGGGAGCCCCCACAUUCCCCAGACCCCACGGCACACCUGGACACGAGCCCUAAACCACACCUGCCACCUUGACCUGCGACGACCCAUCUGCUGUUUGAGUCAACAUCUUUUUUGAGUCCCGAGGGCCCGCCGGGUUGCCUGACUCCGAACUGAUGACCGAGAAAAGUGUGUCGGAAGAAGGAAUGAUUGAAUGAAUGAAUGAAUGAAUGAAUUUGAAGGUGUGAAGCUACCCAAAUAUUCAUUCGAUGUUGAUAUCACUUGGGGCCGGUCUGAUUUCACGAAACCAAGUGCCCGUGACGCUUCCUGAGACAUCCCACUGGGACUUUGCUCCGGUGCAGAAAUACAUAUUUUGAAACGGAUGAAAUAAACUUUGCUUACCUCGUCCAGGACAGCCUUUUUUUUCUGGAAUAAAGAGAUAAAUCAUGAAUUAACACAA